UGCAGAAUCUGAAGAAGUGAUGGAAUCUGAAGUUGAUUCAAUCUAAAGUUCCUCUUCUAUCGUUUUGGGUCCUUCUACCACCAGCUUCUGGAGUAUCUUCAACCUAACAAAGCAACAAUCUCCUAGUCAUCACCAAUCAAAGUAAAGAAAAGAAACCUGGAGGAGCUGAGUUGCUGUCAAGAUCACUUGUAGGAAAAAAACAUGAGUGAACUUUGGUCUGUGUAUAGAUUCUGCUUCAUGUUUAAUUGUAGUCUUCAAGGGCAAUGGAUGAGACCAUGUUGCUUGAUAUAUUUGUUAUGAUGUGAUCCUUUCCAGUUAUCUUUCAUGAUCA